GACGAACGCUGGCGGCGUGCUUAACACAUGCAAGUCGAACGGAAAGGCCUGCUUUCCCUUGUGGAUUGCGGGUACUCGAGUGGCGAACGGGUGAGUAACACGCGAGUGAUCUGCCCCCAACUUGGGUAUAAGCCUGGGAAACUGGGUCUAAUUCCCGAUAGGACUGCAGGGUGGUGCCUGUGGUGGAAAACGAUUUUCUAGUGGUUGGGGAUGAGCUCGCGGCCUAUCAGCUUGUUGGUGGGGUAAUGGCCUACCAAGGCGGCGACGGGUAGCCGGCCUGAGAGGGUGGACGGCCACAUUGGGACUGAGAUACGGCCCAGACUCCUACGGGAGGCAGCAGUGGGGAAUAGUGCACAAUGGGCGGAAGCCUGAUGCAGCGACGCCGCGUGGGGGAUGACGGCCUUCGGGUUGUAAACUCCUUUCGACCGCGAGGAAGCCACCUGGUUGGAAGGGUGGUGACGGUAGUGGUAGAAGAAGCACCGGCUAACUACGUG
rnacentral:rRNA from 1 species